rnacentral:rRNA from 1 species
CCUACGGGGGGCUGCAGUGGGGAAUAUUGGACAAUGGGGGAAACCCUGAUCCAGCAAUGCCGCGUGUGUGAAGAAGGCCUGCGGGUUGUAAAGCACUUUCGGUUGGGAAGAAAAGUUUGUCGCCAAUACCGCCGAACCUUGACGUUACUGACAGAAGAAGCACCGGCUAACUCUGUGCCAGCAGCCUCGGUACUACAGAGGGUGCAAGCGUUAAUCGGAAUCUGCGGACGUGGAGCGGGCGUUGGGGGUUGAAAUCCCCGGGCUUAACCUGGGAACUGCAUUCGAUACUACAUGGCUAGAGUAUGGUAGAGGGAAGUGGAAUUUCCGGUGUAGCGGUGAAAUGCGUAGAUAUCGGAAGGAACACCAAUGGCGAAGGCAGCUUCCUGGACUAAUACUGACACUGAGGCACGAAAGCGUGGGUAGCAAACAGGAUUAGAUACCCUUGUAGUC